rnacentral:misc_RNA from 1 species
UUUGGCUCAGAUCAUGUGUAG